rnacentral:rRNA from 1 species
CCUACGGGGGGCUGCAGUAGGGAAUAUUGGUUAAUCUGCGAAAGCGGGAACCAGCAACGCCGCGUGUGCGAUGAAGGCCUUCGGGUCGUAAAGCACUUUUUAGAGGGAUGAGGAAGGACAGUACCUCUAGAAUAAGCCUCGGCUAACUACGUGCCAGCAGCCGCGGUAAAACGUAGGAGGCGAGCGUUAUCCGGAUUUACUGGGCGUAAAGCGCGUGCAGGCGGUUUGGUAAGUUGGAUGUGAAAGCUCCUGGCUUAACUGGGAGAGGUCGUUCAAAACUGCCAGACUAGAGAGUGGUAGAGGAAGGUGGAAUUCCGGGUGUAGUGGUGAAAUGCGUAGAUAUCCGGAGGAACACCAGUGGCGAAAGCGGCCUUCUGGACCACUUCUGACGCUCAGACGCGAAAGCUAGGGCAGCAAACGGGAUUAGAUACCCUUGUAGUC